rnacentral:sRNA from 17 species
ACCCCGUCUGCUCAAACCCACACACGUGUCGACACGAUGACCUGGGUGCCCCGCAUUCUCGAAGUUCUUGUUCAGGUGCGUGGGUUGGUCAUUGGGAUACGUGGAGGCCCAAC